rnacentral:sRNA from 2 species
UGGACUGGGGGCGAGUUUUUGUUGGGUGGGGACGGUGGGAUGGAAUAUGCGGGCCUGAGUCGGAGGGAGAUUUUGGCGGAGGCGGCGGAAAGGAGGGCUGCGAUGGCGAGGAGGGAAAGGGAGGAGAAAGGAAAUGGAGGGGAACAGGGGUGAUGGGCAAGUGGGGAGUGAGUGAGAGAGAGAGACUUGAAUUUAUGGGUUUUUGAGGGGUUUCAUAUAUCCUUUCCUUGCCGAGAUGUAAAUGUCUUGUUGUAUGCGGGCGUUUGACAUUCAAUUUCUCAUCCUACCCUAUAAUAACUCGGUGUAUAUAAUGAGAAGA